UAAUACGGAGGGUGCAAGCGUUAAUCGGAAUUACUGGGCGUAAAGCGUGCGUAGGCGGCUUAUUAAGUCAGAUGUGAAAGCCCUGGGCUUAACCUGGGAACUGCAUUUGAAACUGGUAAGCUAGAGUUGAGUAGAGGAGAGUGGAAUUUCAGGUGUAGCGGUGAAAUGCGUAGAGAUCUGAAGGAACACCAGUGGCGAAGGCGGCUCUCUGGACUCAAACUGACGCUGAGGUACGAAAGCGUGGGUAGCAAACAGG
rnacentral:rRNA from 1 species